UGUGAACUUGGGCAAGUGACCUAAUCCUCUGCAUUUCAUCUCUAAAUUGGGGAGAAUAGAAGCAUCUACUUCAUGUAGUAGCCAGGAUUAGAAGAGGGAGGAAUAACUGGGCCCUGGAUAGAAUGUGAUGAAUGAAUAUUCUUAAUGAGAAGUGGAAAUAAUUUGUGGUUGAGAGCUGUGCCUCAGAUCAGAGUGACAGGAUACAUGGCUAGGCUAUAUUUUCCAGCAGAUUAAGAGCUGCAGCCCAAGACUCUGAAAUAUGAAGAAAAAAGGAGAAGAUGACAGCAUAUCUUUUUAAAGAAAUAUUUUCCAGCCAAAUGGUGCAGCAGAGGACUUCCAGGAAUUUGUUCUUGUUCUGUAUCAAAGGUGAAGAGUUCGUAGCCUUCAAGGAAACAAGAAACCAUGGGAUGGAGUGAAGGAAGGUGGCCUGGAACCAGCUGCUGAGCCUCUCUGAGCCCCAGUUUCCUCAUCUCUAAAAUGGGGCUGAUCUCCUCUCCCUCAGACUGUUGUUGCAGGAAUUAAAACAGGUGUUGAGUGGGAAAGCAUCAGUCCCAUAGCAAAUGGCCCCUGAGUAGUAGGAUCUGAGUUCUGGUUCUGGUCCUGCUGGGGUAUGGCUGGUUGAGAGGUCAAAGAGGUAAUUAAAAGGAUUGCCAGCUUCAUUAUUGGGAGCUGAGAUUCCAUUUUAGACCAAGAGUGUGACCAAGGUGGUAACCUUAA
rnacentral:lncRNA from 1 species